GAUUAGUUAUUUGCUGUGAACUACCAUAAAAAUUAUGAGGAAAGACGAAAAAAAGAGAGCAGUGAGGUGCUUGGGGAGUGCUUGUGCAUGUAUAUGUGUAAAUGAGUGAAGAGUAAAGAAGUGAGUAUGUUGUAGCUAAAUCUUCACAGUGCCAUGCCAACAUCUUCUCUGUUUGCUAUUCAUUCUUUGAGAUUGUAAAGAAUUUCGGUCCUCAUUUAAUCCGAAGUAAAUUGAUCGUUGUCCAUCCUUGACAUGAGUCCUAUAUGAAACUAAUUAAAUAUUGAAGUGUGUUUGCCAAAUUUGAGUGCAACCGUGUUGAUUCUGCUGUUCAUAUGCUUAUUGUUGGAUCAAACUUGUUAUUCUCUUCUUGUUGGAUUAGACUUGUCAUCCUUUCUGCUAGUGCUUACAAUGUUAUGUUUACUGGACAUGUCUCCCUUGUGAAUGAGCAGUGGAGUCUACUGAAAUCCGCUGAAUAUUCUGCCGAGAGCUUGUCUCUCAAAAUGGAAGCUCAGGAAGGUCACUGACUGCACUUGACAAGGCCCUGCAAGGACGAAAUCAAAGUUAUCCAUCACUGGGUGAAACUCCUGCUCUUUCCGUAUCUGCAUUGCUUUCAACUUGAAAGGUUCGAGUACGGGUAUAUCCAUGUAAAUUUGGUGAGGAAAGAUCAAUUCAGUACAGAUUCAUUGUACGCAUUGAUUUACUUAUUUGCUGUCUCCAACACAAGAUCAAAACACGAGUCUCUCUUCUUGAUUUUACAGCUUACCCAAUCACUCCUCAAGAUCCCAACACCGAUCUCUCUUCUUCUCCCCAUCUUUCUCCCCCCUUAUCGAGCCCCCACAACCACACGUGGCUUGUGUCAUUGACAUGCCUCUGGUGCCACCAUCAAUCUUGACUUUCCUCGCUCCGCCAUUCAAUGCCGGUGCCUAUGAAGGGUCAUGUCAUGCUCCAUUCACUCUCUCUCCCCUAUCACUUCAAUGUCAGUCGUCAUCCCUGCUUUCGUGUAGCUAUCUCUCUCCCUCUCUUGGAUAAGGAUAGAUGAGCUCACCUGAACGUCAAGUUUAUGCCUUUGGUGGGUCUCAAGACCCCUCGUUGAGCUCCCCUCAUCAUUUACAAUUACUUUGUCGACAAUGACGAAAUUAGAAGGUCAUCUCAAGAUUUGGGGAUG